CAAGUUAAAAAGAGUAUGCAUUGAGUAAUGCUAUAUCUAUACAAGAAGUAACAAUCUCAGCAAAUCAUUGAGUCAAGAGAAAUUACCAAAUCAAGAGCAUAGACUCUCAAGCAUAUACUCAAAGAGGAAGGAUUUACGUUGACAAUUCAGAUUCAAAGAAGCCUAUUUGGUACAAUCAAUGAACAGUGAUGAAACUUUCUUUUGUACUAUCAAGAAGGUACCAAGACUUUUUUUACUUGAAUAGUAAUCUCAAUAAAUCAUUGCAAAGAGAAACAUCAAAUAUCCGGUUUUCAACAACCAUUUCAAUUAAACAAACAAGAAUCUCUGUUUCACCAAUUGAAGAUGAAUAAUCAGGAAAAACAAGAGUUAAUUUCUGGAAAAAAAAAA